rnacentral:rRNA from 1 species
GAUGAACGCUGGCGGCGUGCCUAAUACAUGCAAGUCGAGCGAACAGACGAGGAGCUUGCUCCUCUGACGUUAGCGGCGGACGGGUUAGUAACACGUGGAUAACCUACCUAUAAGACUGGGAUAACUUCGGGAAACCGGAGCUAAUACCGUAUAAUAUAUUGAACCGCAUGGUUCAAUAGUGAAAGACGGUUUUGCUGUCACUUAUAGAUGGAUCCGCGCCGGAUUAGCUAGUUGGUAAGGUAACGGCUUACCAAGGCAACGAUGCGUAGCCGACCUGAGAGGGUGAUCGGCCACACUGGAACUGAGACACGGUCCAGACUCCUACGGGAGGCAGCAGUAGGGAAUCUUCCGCAAUGGGCGAAAGCCUGACGGAGCAACGCCGCGUGAGUGAUGAAGGUCUUCGGAUCGUAAAACUCUGUUAUUAGGGAAGAAAAAAUGUGUAAGUAACUAUGCACGUAUUGACGGUACCUAAUCAGAAAGCCACGGCUAACUACGUG